rnacentral:rRNA from 1 species
GACGAACGCUGGCGGCAUGCCUAACACAUGCAAGUCGAGCGAGCAGAUCCCUUCGGGGUGAAGCUAGCGGCGGACGGGUGAGUAACACGUGGCAACCUGCCUCAUAGAGGGGAAUAGCCUUCCGAAAGGAAGAUUAAUACCGCAUAAGAUUGUAGCUUCGCAUGAAGUAGCAAUUAAAGGAGCGAUCCACUAUGAGAUGGGCCCGCGGCGCAUUAGCUAGUUGGUGAGGUAACGGCUCACCAAGGCGACGAUGCGUAGCCGACCUGAGAGGGUGAUGGGCCACAUUGGGGCUGAGACACGGCCCAGACUCCUACGGGAGGCAGCAGUGGGGAAUAUUGCACAAUGGGGGAAACCCUGAUGCAGCAAUGCCGCGGGAGUGAUGACGGCCUUCGGGUUGUAAAGCUCUGUCUUCGGGGACGAUAAUGACGGUACCCGAGGAGGAAGCCACGGCUAACUACGUGCCAGCCGCCGCCGUAA